UACGUAGGGAGCAAGCGUUGUCCGGAAUCAUUGGGCGUAAAGCGCGCGUAGGCGGCCCCGUAAGUCCGCUGUGAAAGUCAAAGGCUCAACCUUUGAAAGCCGGUGGAUACUGUGGGGCUAGAGUCCGGAAGAGGCGAGUGGAAUUCCUGGUGUAGCGGUGGAAUGCGCAGAUAUCAGGAGGAACACCAAUAGCGAAGCAGCUCGCUGGGACGGUAGCUGACGCUAAGGCGCGAAAGCGUGGGGAGCGAACAGG
rnacentral:rRNA from 1 species